rnacentral:misc_RNA from 1 species
AAGUGAAAGGUAAGUUCUAUAAAACUGUGGUCAUACCAGCUAUGUUGUAUAAGAGUGAAUGUUAGGUGUCUAAGGCAUAACAUACCCACAAGAUGAGAGUGACAAAAAUAUAGAUAUUAAGAUGAAUGUUUGGAAACACGACAAUGGAUAAAAUUAGGAAUGAUCAUAUCAACCAGAGAGUGCAUGUAGCACACAUUGGAAAUAAAUAAGAGCUUGAUUACGAUGGUUUAGUCAUGUCUAACGUAAGCUUUCGACUGCCUCAAUACAAAACCAUGAUAAGUUAGUGGUGGAAGGAGU